rnacentral:lncRNA from 1 species
ACAUCUCGCUACGAAAUCCAUCUUCGGAAUAAUGCUUCGGGAGCUUUUACUCCUGCCAAACGCAUCCAAGCUUGUUUUUGAUGGUAGUAGAAGAGGUAAACCUCCAAACACCAUCUUACCAAGUUCAUUUGUUUUAACUUUGUUUGACUAAUGAAACUAAAACUUCAAAAAGGCAAAAAAAAAAAAAAAAAAAAAAAAACUAUAUAUAUAGUGAUUCUAGAAUAAGGUUUGUAGCAGAUGAUCAACAGCAACAACUUGCUUGUAUGUUUAGGAUGUUAGAGAGGCAAGAUGAACUAAUUAUGAUGUGUAAUAGGAUUAUGAAAAAUACUUGAGUGUGUUAGAAAAUUGUCAGUUUCUUGACACAGAAGUAUUCGUUGACGAUGGUUUUAAAGAUGAAGAAUGAGUGGCAGGGAAAUUUUCUUUGCUUCCAUACAUCCCUGUUGGUGAACUGCAAGGUUUGAGAGUUUGUCAUUGUGUGUGUUUGAUUCAAAGGGCAUGAAAGAGGAAAACAGUUGAGUAAUGUCUGAUGUCUGUAAAUUAUAAUUUAAGCUAUGGUGUCACUUGUUCAUGUGUGUGCUUGUGAUGAAGGUGUAUUAGUAAAACCUUCAAACCCUCAGCUAAUUUCAUAAACAUUUUUCUUUUCUUCAUUUUUUCAUUUUUCAAUUCACAUCUCUACUGAUAUCCCAAGGAUAUAUAUAACAUAUUAGUUUUACUCAUGAAAAAUUUAUUCUCCAAUGAUACUCUCAUACUCUCAUGCUCUCAAACUUGAAUCGCCCUAAUGACUAAAAUCACAUUUUAGUCGAGGUUAUUUUUCUUUCGAAAUGGUAAAUUGCUUUUAAAAUUUAAACUAUUUUGAAACCUUGAAAACACGAUGGUAAUCAAACCAAAACUUUGUGACUUUCGACCAAAUUUACAUUUGAAAAUGGAGAAUUAAAGACUUACAUUGAAGAUAUUGUAAUUUUCUUUUGGCACAAUGGUAGCAAAUGGUAACUUAAACAAAAUGAGUCGAAAUGAAGGGAAAAAUCUGUCCAAGGAGGAUUGUUUUCAAGUGAGAGAGUCAAAAAACCAAAGGUUUGAGCAUGAGUGGCUAGCUCAUCACCUACUGUGGAAGAGAUGAGGAAUAGAGUAUAUGAAAGCUUGGAUGAUCUCGUUAGCAGAACUGGAAUUUCCAACAAAAGAAACUUACAAAUAAGAAGAGAACUUACAAAUAAUAAGAGAAUUAGUUUCUACUCAAAACAGGAAUAUAUUAGCCUCAAGACCUCUACAAAGGCCCUUGAUGGCCUUGGCAAGCUUAACAAAACCUGCCAAAGGAGUAAUUUUCUAAGGUAGGCAUUACAUAUCAACAUUCAAGUUCUAAAUAAUGGUGUCAAUCCCAAACAUCGCUGUUUAGAAACAUGCAUCAAAGUUGAGCUCAAAAGAACCUUGAGAAUUAGGAGCGAAAUGUAAUUAUAAAACAUAUGUAAAAUAAAUUCAUUUUCGCCCGAAUAAAACUAAUUUGUUUGAGAUUUCUAACUAUAAUUGAAUUUGCUACUUCUUUAAUUUUAUCGUAUGUUCAAUAAGGUCAUAUCUAAAAUAUAGACAUCAAACAGAGUAUGUCAUUGUAAUUGACAUUUUAAAUUUUUAUAGAAAGGAAAUAAUGAGAGAAGGAGGUAAGAAGGUAAGGAGGUAAGAGUGUAAGUUGUUGCAACAAUUUUGAGUAACUUCUCUGUUUGUUGAGUAUUUGAAUACUAAAGCAAAACAUUAUGAUAGCGGUACAUUUUCUUUAAACAAAUUUCUAAAUUUAUGAACUAGUUAAAGCUAGUUAUCCCUACAAAUUCUCAAUUUGAUAAACAUAAUCUAGAGUUGGAUGUAACAAAGAGAGAGAAAGAGAAAAAGUAGAUCAAAUGGCUAUAUACAAACAUAAUGAAGUGGGUUAAUAGAGAAACACUUUAGAUUUUCCAUUAAAGGGCCUCAUUAGUGAUUAAUUCACAAACCAAGUAAUAACUUUGAUUCUAAUAGACUAAAUAUCUCCUAAGAUGUUGGACAUAUGUUCAUUUCUUUAAAUUGUAAUUCACUUCUGUUUGUUGUAAGCAAAUAAAAUACUAUUCCAAUUUCAAAUUGAUCAAAUUUUGUAACUUAAUCCAAACAAAUCAUAAAAACUAUGGGUACAAAAGUUUUAAUUUUUUUUGUUAUAUUAAGUAGAACAAAAAUAAGCAAGGUAGGUAAGGUAAGUGAAAUUUUAAAAAAUAAAAUAAAAGGAUUAAAAAUGAUAAAGAUGAAGAAUUUGGUAAAGAGUGGGAGUUUGAAUUUUGUUGUAAACUGUGAGGGUAAGGUUUAAAAAAUUUGCUAAAUAUAAGCAAAGAUUUUCUUUUUAAAAUGAAAAAAAAAAACAGUAUGAGAAGAGCUUUGAAUGCUAACAAACAUGGUUAGCAACAAGAACCCAUUAUUUGUUAGUUCAAUUCUGUUGCCUCAAACUCCAACCACUUUUCAAAAAACUCUUUCUUUCUUCUUCAUAUUUCUCAUACUUUUAUUUUUCAUCUCUUCUUCUUUAUAAAAUCCACACAUUUCUUUAUCCACACCCAUAAGCUCUUUCAGCUCUUCCCAACAAAUUUCCCUUUUCCUAAAACAAAGCAAUGGCUUCCAAUGUCACCAUUUACAAUGAUGUUUUUGGUUCAGAUCAUGGGAGUUUCCUAACCCUUUGCUUGAAUACGCCUCCCAAGAUUAAUUCCGAUGGCAUUUGGGAAUUUGUUUUUGGGGCUGCUCGUAAACUUAGGUUUUCUCCUCUUCCAUUGUUGGAGUUUCAAAUGCUGCUUAUUUUCUUUGUCAAUAUCAUCCUCCAUUCCUUCCUUCGCCUCUUUGGUCUCCCUCUUUUUGUCUCUCAAAUAAUUGUAAGUCUCUCUCUUCCUCUUUUUCUAUUCUUUUUACUUCUUAUAGUCUUCUUCUUUUGAUUUUGUAUUUUAGAUUUCCUUAUUUAAUGAUGUGGUCUCUUUUGCUUUCAAUUAUAAAUAUGUGUAUUGCCUUUUCCACUUGGAACAUAUAUAUUAUGUUACACCAUGGUAGGAUAUCAAAAUUAUGCUAACGAAUUGGAAUUAGAAACCCUUUUGGUACGAGAAACCACUUAUUUCAUUUUCACUUUAAAAAUUGGUUUCACACGAAUUCCAAACAACGAUACAACUUACAAGAAAUGAUGAUUGAUGAAAUUUAAGAAGCUAUUCUAGCUUAGCUUAAAAGGAAAAGCCCAAAGGCUUAUUCAAUUUAUCAUUUUAUAUCAAACAACUUAAUGGAAGACUUUAAAUAAUCUCCGGAUCAAAAUCUUAAUGCCACAUCUUAUAUCAUAUCAUAGUAAAAUGACAAAAAUACCCCUAUGAUAAAAAAAAAGUUAAAAUUGGAAAACACUAAGAUUGCAUCAAAAUUAUUAAAUAUAAUAUAGAUAAUAACUUGUAACUUAGAUUAAUGUUUGAGUUUAUUCAUGAUAAGAGAAGAUCAUUGAAUGUAUGGAGAAGUAAUAUUUUAAGCUGAGGUUUCGAAUGUGAUGAUGAUUUAGCUUGUCUUUUCUCUGCUUCUUUUGUUGGUGCUUCGCCACAGACUGGCUUGAUACUUGGAUCAUCAUGGAGGGGAAGUUUUGAAUCAUUUGACAACUUCAAAGAUGGUGUAUUUGCCACUGCAUCACAAGAAAUAGUGGGUUUGCUGGCAGGAUUUGGGUACACACUUUUUGUGUUUCUUAUUGGAGUUAGGAUGGAUUUAAGUGUGGUUAAAAGAUCAGGAAGGCAAUCUUUGAUAGGUGGUAUUUUAUCAAUAGUUAUUCCUGCAAUACUUGGUUCGUUGACAGCAUUUGGUUUAUCAAGAUUUAGUAAGACACAUGGAACGGCUGACAUGGAGUUUAUAGCCGCACACCAAUCAUACACUUCAUUUGCUGUUAUGGUUUGCCUUCUUGACCAUCUCAAAAUUCUGAAUUCUGAAGUUGGUCGUUUGGUACUUUCUACUACAAUUGUAGCUGAUUUGGUGGGUCUGAGUUUCUCCUUGAUAAUUACUGUUAUUGAAAAUGUUCGAAGCCAGGGUGCUUUGAAUGGCUUGAUGACUUUUGCUAUGGCGAUUGGAUCGUUGGUCCUUAUUGUGUUUUUGUUUCGUCCUGCGAUGCUCUGGAUUGUUAGGUCUACACCAAGUGGGAGGCCUGUGCCGGAUGGAUACAUAUGCAUCAUCAUUCUAUUGGUGCUUGUAUCUAGUGUAACUUCUAACAUUAUGGGACGAACCGUUUAUUCAGGACCAUUUAUCUUGGGUUUGACUGUGCCUGAAGGACCACCUUUAGGAGCCAGUCUAGUGAAGAAACUGGAUAGCAUUAUUACAUCGGUUUUCGUUCCGCUCUUUGUCACUAUUUCUGUGAUGAAGGUUGAUCUUUCAUUCCUUUACUACGAUGGAGAAUUUUUGAUCCAUUCUAUUAUUGUGAUCUUUAUAUCCAGUAUUGGAAAAUUGGCUGUUUCUGUUGGUACUGCUCUAUAUUUCAAGAUGUCUUCUCAUGAUGCCUUGGCAUUUGGCCUCAUAAUGUGUAGCAAAGGCAUUGUAGAGCUUGCUGCUUGCUCUUACUUUUAUGACAGCAAUGUAAGGGUUUACAUAACAUUAGAUUUAUAUAUAUAUAUUUAUAUUUAUACAUAACAUUAGAUUUAUAAGUAACUUUUGGUCCUUUUGGUGUGAAAUUUGCAGUUAUUAUAUGAGCAGACUUUUGCAGUGUUAAUUGCUGAUAUUUUGAUUUUCUCGAUACUGAUGCCGAUGGUCGUGAAAUGGUUCUAUGAUCCUUCAAGAAAAUAUUCUCACUACCAGAAAAAGAACAUUCUCAAUUUGAAGCCUGAUGCUGAGUUGAGCAUACUAGGAUGCAUUCAUACGCAGGAUGGUCUUCCUGUUUUGCUUAACCUUCUCGAUGCAUCAUGCCCGACCGAGGAGUCUCCUAUUUCUCUGUAUGCUCUUCACCUUGUAGAAUUGGUUGGUCGAGCUACGCCGGUUUUCAUCACACAUGAGCUUCAUGAACAAAAAAGUUCAUCCGAAGUGAUGGUCUCAGAUAGUAUUAUUCAAAUGCUUCGCAAGUACGAAAUGAGGAACGAAGGUGUUGUAUCGAUUGAGGUAUUCACAGCAAUUGCUCCGAUGAAACUAAUGCACGACGACAUCUGCACCGUAGCGGUUAAAAAGCUCACUUCCAUUAUAAUUCUUCCAUUUCAUCGAAGAUGGACAAGAGAAGGAUUCGUGGAUUCAGAGGAUAGCACAAUAAGGGCAUUAAAUUGCCAAGUCCUUGAGCGAGCACCGUGCUCAGUGGGAAUCCUCAUUGACCGUGGCCAUCUUUCGAGCUAUCGUUCGUUUGGAGGUUCUUGUGCAUCGUUAUUACAAGUUGCAAUGGUUUUUCUUGGUGGUCAAGACGACAGGGAAGCAUUUUCGUUUGCUAGACGCAUGGUUAAAGAGGUGAGUAGUGCUCAACUCACAGUGAUACGGUUAAUUGCAGAAGAUGAGAGCAUAAGCCAUUGGGAGAUGGUUCUUGACACGGAACUGUUGACGACGACGUGAAGCAUAGUUUUGUAGGGGGCGAACCUUUCAGAUAUGUGGAAAGGAGAGCGGAUGAGGGAUCAGAGACAGCAACAAUAAUAAGAUCUAUUGGUGAUGAAUAUGAUCUUAUCAUAGUUGGAAGAAGAGAAGGAAUUGAUUCACCACAAACUUUCAGGUUUUUGAUGGAAUCUGGAAUGAGUUUCCUGAACUUGGGAUCAUUGGAGACAUGCUUGCCUCUGCUGAUUCACAUUUUAAAGCCUCCACCUUGGUGGUUCAACAACAACAACAAUGGUCAUUCUAUAAACAAUGAUCAAUCAAUUACAUCCAUUUUUAGUGUUUUUAUUUUGGUAUAAUUUAAGAGCAAUACUUGAGUGUAUUCUUGGUUGUACCCGUCUUUCUGCAACACACUCCAAUUAUACCCAACAAAAAAAAUUGAGAAACUGUAAUUGGGCGAUAAAAAGAGUUGCAAAAAGAUAGGUGGAGCUAAUGUUGUACCAACAUUCUUUUUUUCAUUCAUAUUUUAAUGUAUCAUAGUUUUAGGCCAUAUUGUUGAUUGGAACAAAUCUAUUUUUUACCUUUAUGAAGUUGUUCUUUACAAGGUGGUCUUCAAUUAAUAGUGUGCUCCCCUUGCUAUUUAUCUUCAAAAUGGCAAAACACACAUACCUAUGUGAAUACAAAUUCAUUUUCAUUUUCUUUUUCAUGUAACAAUAUUUUUAUAUAUGAGUGAUUUCUUUUAUACUAAUUAACAAAAAUAAUAAGGUUGAGAAAUAGACGUGGAAUAACUAAAGGAAAGACUACACAGAAAAAUUUUACUAUGUGAAAAGUUAUUUUGACCCCAAUUAUAAUAGCACUCUUUCAAAGUAUUAUAUCACUGCAUUAGUAUUUCCACGCUUAAUAUGUUUCAAUUGAAACUCAAAACUUAUUUUACAUUGCUUUGAAGCUCGUUACUUUCUUGAACUUUUUUUCGAGGUAAAACAACUACAUUUCUAACAUUUUAUUAAAACUUAGCAAAUUCCACCUUCACUUCUCAUUCUCCUUUCCAUCGACAAAAGUUGACUAGUACCUUUAACAAAACUUAAAGUUUUCUCUUUCUUAACAUCAAGAUUUGCUUCAAGUAUUCAUAAAGAGGGGAAGUGACAAGAUGUAUUUGAGUGUGGUAUCUUCAUCAUUUAUCUUCACUCCAAUCAUCUCUAGACGAUGUCAUGCAUUGAGAAUAACGCUAGAUUGAUAUGAGUUUUUGUAACUUCUACCAAUCCUAGUGUGAUUUGCUUCUUGAUCAUGUACAAACAUUGAGAUACUCUUUUUUCUUCAAGCUUCUCGGUUUAGGAUUUAAGGUUUAGUAUUUAGUGAGAAUAACUAAAUUUGUCUACGAAGAAUUUCAAGAAUUCUUUCAUGAUCCCAAAAUUUAUACAAUGCAACAAACACUCCGCAUACUCAGAAAUUUAAGAAACUACAAAACCCUAAAGCUUUAAUGUUACUUUUACUACCACACAAUAAACAAAUAAACUAACAAAGAAAGUCAUAAGAUAGGGAACACAAGAAUUAGCAUGAGAAAAUCCAACCAUUCAAUAAAAAUAAUUGUACUAUUUGAAAAAUUAUUACAAUCCCAUACUCUCUCCUAGCAUUGUAUCAUUGACACGAUUGAGCUAGUAUAUUAAACUUAAUUAACACAUUUCAAAUUGAGAUAAUUUGAAAACUAAAGAACAACUCCUUUUAUACAGUGUUUGAUAGUAUUGAAAACUUGUUAUCGAAUCCCGCUUAAUUUUGAAUUGUUCUUAGAUUUUAUAUUCAUGUUGGAUCAAUAUGGCAACUCUAGAGGGGUGAAUAGGGUUUAAUUAAACUUUUUAAUAAAUAUGUCCAAACUAAAUUAAUUAGAUAAUUUUUGAAUUAAAUACAAAACUUUAGCUAAUUUAUGUUAAAUAACAAGAUGUUAGAUUUAUUUUAAAUAUAAUAUUAUCAUUAAUGUAGCGCAUUAUAGGUCAUUUUAUAUUUUUGGAGCCAUUAUUUUAUUAGGCCUAUUACAUAAAAAGAUAAUGCCCUAAUUAAACACGGUGUAUAUCUAACUCUUCCCAUCAAGAAAAUUAAUUAUGUUAAGAGAGGUCAAGUGAGAGAAACACAAUCUUUUAGAAGACCAUUCAUGGAUCAAGGUAUAUGAUUAUUUAUCUAAGUUUAAUUUUUAAAAUCAUCUAGUUCAAAUAUCUUGGCACUUAUUGUUAUAUACAAUGCUAGAGUUUUAUUGUAUAAUAAUGAAACUAAAGUUUAUACAAGAUUGAUAAAAAAAAAAUGUAUAAUAAAAUAUAGAAUCAAUCUCCAACCAACAAAAAUAUGCAACUAAAAUUAAAUGAAAAAAUAAUUAGAAAAGAGUUAGGAAAGAAGACACCACAAUUUCAUAGUGGUUCAGUCAAACUCGACCUACAUCCACUUUUCCAAGCACUACUGAAGAUUUUGAUUAAAAACCUUAUUUUGCCUCUUUCCACAAAUAAGAAUCGAAUCGUUACUAGCUUCUUUUUCGGGUUUAAGAACAAACCUAAUCCUUUCUAUGGGUUAGGAUCCGACCACCACAAUAUGUUGAAGCUUUAAAUCACACAAAAGAAAACACUAUAAGAAGGUGAGUGCAAUUUUUGAGUUCACAACAAUUAAUCCUCAUACUACAAUACAAUAAGAAUUCUACAGGGAUUAUUAGAAGUUUUAGAGAAAAUAAGAAGGGUGACUUUUCAAUUUUUUUUAGAAUUACAAAAGUAAGAGGAAAUUAUUAAGAUCCAAGUUAUUUUUUGGUUAGAGGUAAGUAAAAUAAAAUAAAAUCAUUGAGAUUUAAACUAUAGUCAUUAGACACAACCGCAUACAAUAAUAUAAUAAUAUAUCAUUUUAAAAAUAAUUAUUUUAAAACUCAAGUUCACCAAUCGUUUUAAAGAGCUGGUCUUUAUAUACAUAAAUAAUAAUUUAAAUUUAUUUUCUUUUUCAAAGCCAAUAAAAUAAAACAAAAUUGAUUUGUGUUACUCCUCCUUCUUUCUUUAAUUUUGGUUAUAUUCGAUUAUUUGACCGCCACAUCACCAUCUCAGAUUUUUUUUGUUAAGAUUUUUUUCGUUUGAACUCCGAUUUUCGUGAUUCAAAAGGCAUCAUAAUGGUUGUUCUGAGCUCUAUCUUAUGAACUAUUUAAAAUAAUAAAAUGACCAUAUUUUAAAAUAGCAAAAUAAAUUAAAAUAUUUACAAGCUAGAAAUUUUUUUUGGAUUCUAUCAAAAAUAGAACUGAUAGACUUAUAUUAUUGACUAUCAAUGUAUUUUGUUAUAGUUUAUAAAUAUUUUGUCAAAUUUGUUAUUUUUAACAACUCUUCAUAAUAAAAUUAUAUAUAUAAAAAAUUAUAUUUAUUACUAUCAAAACAUUAAUUAAUUAAUUAAAAUUAAUUAAUCUCAGAUGAUCAAUGGCUAAAAGAACAGUUAAUAUAGAACGAGACUUCAACCUAAAAUUACAAGAACGAGAACAAUGAACUUAGAAGAGAUAACACAUGCACGCAAUGCAACACAAUCUCAAAGGAGACUUCAACCUCACUUUUGUUUUUUUUUGUCUCCCAAAAGAUUUAAUUAGUUAGACAACUGAUUUAAUGCACUAAUAGUCUCUAUUUUGAAUUCUCAUAUAAUAACUUUUUUUUGUAAGAUUAUACAAUUCAUUAAAGUUUAAUUAAAUCAUUUUAAAGGAGUUGGAGUUUAUGUGUAGCUCUUAUCUAAUUUAGUUCUUUAUUUCUUCAAUUUUUGUUACAUGCACAAUAGUAGUUUAUUUAGUUUGCAACAAUUUGUGAUGUUUAGAGAUGUUCAAUAAUAGAUGGGUUGGACAUAGCAACAGACCCACACCUAUUUUAUUCUUCUUCCUUCUAAAAUUCUUCACUUGAGAAGUUAGAGAUGGGAGAAAGAAUUCAUUUCUUUUUAAAAAAAAAAUCAAUUAAUGGAAACCAACAACUAUUGAAAACUGAUAAUUAAACCGUUAAAUUUCUCACUUUUAUUAAUAUAUAUAAUUUUAGUUUACUAACAAAUUAUUCAAAGUUCUAAUCUUAUAAAAUAUUUAUACACGAUAUAAAUUUAAAUAUUCAAUUCCAUGUUAUUUUCUCUCUUUUUUUUCUUUUUUUAUGCGGAAAUGAAGUCAGUGGGCCCAAUCAAAAUAUAUUAUUAUUAUUAUUAUUAUUAUCAUCAUCAUCCUUAUUAUUAUUAUUAUGUUUAUUAUAAUUAUUACAGUAUUAAAAUUUUAAAAUAACAAAAUCUAUGUAAAAAUUAUUACUUAAAAAAUUAUUUUCUUAAAAUUAUAAAAAUAUUUUACUUAUUAUUCUUCAAUCAAACACAUAUAUAUACUCAAAAGACAGUUAGUUUGUUAUUGAUUUAUAUCCUAUCUCAAUUUGUUCACACACAAUUAGUUUGUUAUUGAUUUAUAUUCUAUCUCAAUUUGUGUUUGGUAUUGAUUUAUAUCUCAUCUCAAUUUAUCUUUCCAUCUCCUAUUACUUUUUUUUUAAUAACAAAUCAUUUCUAAUUUGUAUGAAUUGGAAAUUAUUAAAUAUUUUUGUAACAAAAUUGAACAUUAAAAAAUUGAAUCUAUACAAUAUCAAAAAUUAUAAAGUUAAAAAAAAAAUCAUCAAAAUAUCAAAAGAAGAGUUAAAUAUAUUAAAAAUGAAAUUAAACAAUAAAGUUACCACUUACCUUCCUACUUAAAUAGUUCAUUCCACUAAUUUUUUUUAUAAUAAUAAUAAUAAAACAACAACAAUAAUUUAUAGCUAGUGGGACCCACUCCACAAAAUGACAAAAAAAGAAAACACCAAUUUUCCCUAAAUAGUUUUGAAGACACCUAUUUUUUCCAAUCUUUUUUUAAAAUCACCACAAUUUUUCAAAUCAACCAAAUUAAUAAAACACCUUAGGACAAUUUGGGAAUAAUGAAUAAACCAAAAAUUGGAUUCUAAUCGGCAAAAACUAGGUGAAAUAUGCCUUCUAAUAUUAUUUUGUAUUCCUAAUUGGCCACUUUUUGCAAAUUCCUUAAAUAAAUAUGCAUAUAAUCAAAUUAUUAACUAAGUUCGAUAAUAUGCAACUAUAAUUAAUUAUAUAAUUAAGAGUUUAAAAAAAGAAUCGCUGAAAAAUAGUAAAUUUGACAAAAUAUUUACAGGUUAUAGUAAGAUUUCAUAUUCUAUUUUUGAUAGAUAUUGAUAUCCUUUUAUGAGUAGUAUUGAUAGACAGUGAUAAAAGUAUAUCAGUUUCUAUCCGUGAUAGAAUCCAAAAAAUUUGCUAUAAAUUGUAAAUAUUUUAAUUUAUUUUUCUAUUUUAAAAAAUGUCUAUUUUUUAGGGGGUUUUGGUUUUCCAAAAGGAGAAAAAAACAAAAUAUUUACUCUAUAAAAGAACUACUAAAAUAUAAAAUUUAUUACAAUUGAUUUUUUUAUACCGUGUAAAUAUUUUGUCAUUUUUUUUAUUUUUAAAAUAGAAAAUAGAAAUACCAUCUUUUAUUUUUGGCGAUUAGAUACGGAAAAGUGUCUUUUUUAGUUGAAAUAAAAAGCAAAAAUAAAAAAAUUGAUGUAAGUAAAAAAAUUUAUAUACUCCUCUAUUUAUACUAUAAAUUUUUAACGUAAGAAUCUUGUUAAUAUGUAGUUUUGCUAAAAUGAAUAAACAAUAUGUAGUGGUAAAUUUUAAAAAGUAAUAAUACUAAAGAUAUAUAUCAUAAAGCUUAAAUGAGUAUUUCUUUAUAUACAAUGUUUUUUUUUAUUAUAUUUUUGUUCACACGAGAUUUCGAAGAAAUGUAUUUCGUGGAAUUGAACUUUGAUAUAUUGAUGAAUAUUGUAGAUACAAUCUCUAGUAUUUACUUCUUUGAUGCUUUCUCUCGAAUACAAGUUAAAACUUAGAACUUCUUGAUCUUAGGUCUUCAGGAUGUUGUUGUUGCAAGUCGAUUUGAACUUCGAUCUUCUGAAAUUCAAGAAAAGUUUAAUCUUUUAAGUUUUCAGUCUCUCAGAAGUUGUUGAUCUCAAGAUUGAUACAAACUUGCACGUCUUGAGAGCUUGUAGAAGUUUAAUUCUUCAAUGCUUCAGAGCUUCAGUACUUAAGAGCUUCAAUUCUUCCUUCAACCAAAGACUCCCAUUUUAAAUGAAUGGCAAUAGUCUCUAUUUAUAGGAAAAUUUCAUGGGUUUUAGAUGGGUUUGGGCUCAUUUGCUUGUUAGACCCAUCUCUUCUUGGACUUGGACUUGAGCUCAUUUGUUUGUUGGACCUGAAUUUGGUUGAGUUGAGUAAACUUAAUUAUCCAAACUCAAACAAAAGUAUAAUCAUCACCAUAUUUACUGUGAUGAUGUGACAUAAUUUAGUUGGUUAAAAAUUUUUUUUCAACAAAUGCCCCUUUUUGAAAUUUGUGCAUGUUUACAUGGUGGGUGAAUCUCGAAAACGAUAAGCUGAAACAAGUGAAUUUGUUCUUGUAUUUGGCGCUAGUUAAUAUGUCAAUUUAAUCAUAAUAUGCAUUUGGACAUAAGUGUGAUUAAAAUGUUAUAUAAAGUUUGGUGAAUUUUAAGUUUAAUUCACAUUUUUUUUUGUUUACAUUAAAAAUCAUUUGGAAUAUGACCAUUUGUUUUUAAUGAAAUUGAUUUUUUUUUUUUACCGAUGAAUUUAAUGAGAGAGUUGAGAUUUAAAAUUUAAAAUUGAUAAAAUUGGGAUAUUGCCAAGUCAUCAAAAUAUGAAUUUAAGUCAGUUUUUUUCUUCUUAUUUUGAAUUUGAAAUAAAUUAAUGAUUUGGGGUAAAGUUUAACACUUUUACAAAACCAAACAAGAUUUAGGGAUUUUAUUAUUAUUUUUGUUUAAAUAUAAAAAAAUGGAUUUAAUUAGGAAAUAUCUUUUCAAAAGAAUUUUUUUUUAAUUAGUUUAUUUGAUGCAUUUUUUAAAUAAGGAGAAAGAUUAGGAAUUAAUCCAACUCCUAACUAAAUCUUAACUCCGAACUCAAUCUCCAUUUUGUUGAGAAGUUUGGUUGAGAUUUGGCACCUUCCCUACUUUAUAAAUAGAAAAGAAUGAGUGAAAACAAAAAUCACAACACUUCCUUCGCACCAUUUCUCUCAAGGAUUCUUCUUCAAUUUUUUUUUUUAUUCUUUCUGUUUUAAUUUUCUUUUCUUUUCUUUUUCUUCCUUUCUUAUUUUUUUCUUAUAUUUUUUUCGAUUACUUUUCUUAAAAAGAAAACUUUUUCUUUCCUUUUCGUUUUUUUCUUCAUUUUUCAAAUACUUUUUUUAAAAAACUUUCUUUUUAUGUUUUCCUUUGUUUUUUUGUCUAUUUCUUUAUUUCUUUAUUUUUUUAUAUAAUUCUUUUUUUUCUCACUUUUUAUCUUUUGAAGAUGGAGCACACCAAACUUGAUCGAACACGAAAAUGAAGAUGGAGAUCAGAUCGGCUAUGGCACAUCGAAGACAAAAAUAGAGAUGGAGAUCCGAUCGGCUGCAGCACAUCGAAGACGAAAAUGGAGAUGGAGAUCCAAUUGGUUGCGACACAUCAAAGAUGGGAAUGAAGAUGAAGAUCUGAUCGAUUGCGACACAUCGAAGACGGAAAUGGAAAUGGAGAUUCGACUGACUGCAUAUGGAAGACAAAGAUGAAGAUGGAGAUCUGCACAUCAAAGAUGGAGAUGGAGAUUCUGAUGGUUGUGGCACGUCGAAGAUGCAGAUGGUGACUACAGCACAUCGAAGAUGCAGAUAAUGAUGACCACAUCGAAGAUUCAGAUGAUGACGAUUGCAACACAUCGGAGAUGCAAAUGGUGACAACAACGACACAUCAAAGAUGCAGAUGAUGACCACUACAACACAUCAAAGAUGCAAAUGAUGACCACUACAACACAUCAAAGAUGCAAAUGAUGACCGCUACAACACAUCAAAGAUGCAGAUGACGACGACUGCAACACAUCAAAGAUGCAGAUGACGACGGCUGCAACACAUCAAAGAUGCAGAUGACGACGGCUGCAACACAUCAAAGAUGCAGAUGACGACGGCUGCAACACAUCAAAGAUGCAGAUGACGACGGCUACAACACAUCAAAGAUGCAGAUGACGACGGCUACAACACAUCAAAGAUGCAGAUGACGACGGCUACAACACAUGGAGAUGGAGACUCUGACGGCUGCGACACGUCGAAGAUGCAGAUGGUGACAACAACGACACAUUAGAGAUACAGAUGGUGACAACAACAACACAUCGGAGAUACAGAUGAUGGCGACAACAACACAUCGGAGAUACAGAUGAUGGCGACAACAACACAUAGAGAAGAUGAAAAUGAAUCAUCUCAAAUGUAACACGUGGGAGAAGAUGAAUCCUCUCGGUUGUAACACAUGAAAAAGAUGAAAAUGAAUCCUCUCGGCAGCAACACAUGAAGAAGAUGAAGAUGAAGAUCCUUUCAGCUACAACACUAUGAAGAUGAAGAUCCUUUCAGCUAUAAUUUUUGAGAGAAGAUGAAGAUGAAGAUCCUUUCACGUGCAAUACUUGAGAGAAAAGGUAGAGCUCGCUAUUUUGACUUUGCCUCCUUUGCCCCCUUUCUUUUCUAUUGUAACUGCUCAUGAAUUUCAUUUUCUAUUGAGAUUAAAUCAUCACAAUGAAACAUAAUACCUUCUUUUUUCGUGCAACUGAACUUAAAGUAAACUUUAAGCUGCCUACGUACCCUUUUUAUAACAUAUGGAUCAAGUCAUAACGUAGUUCAAUUAAGUUGUUUUUUUUUUUUUUCAUUCACCUUUUAAGCUAUUGUGGACUAGGAGCAUCAUGCAGUUUAGGCUCUUGUGAUAAGGAGCUUUACACAUUUAAUAAAUAUUUUCAUAAAAAAUUUGUUCACCUCAUUCAUUUGUGGAAUUGGUGAAUAUAAUAAGUCUUGGCUUCACGAUCAAGGAACCUUUUGUAUUAAUGUCAACAGACAACCUCCUCUUCAUGCGUGAUGGGACACGACUGUGAAUCUUCUCGUUAUUAUUUUCUUCAUAAUGUAAUUUUACCUUCAAAGUUUUCAUCUCUUUUUCAUGUUGAUCGUUUGUCAUUUUUAGUCGAUCAAAAACAGAUGUUGAAGGUUGAUCUUUCUUUGAUGUAGAGAUACUUAGCAUUUUGAAAGCUGAAAUUCGAGUGAAAGUAGACAUUGGACAUUGAUUUUCUUCUUUUGUGGACAUACUCAAUCUUUGAAAGACUGAAGAUCGAGUAGUUGAAGACUUGAUACGAUCAAAGAGAGAAGUCCUUUGCUUAAUUUCAUUUGAAUUGUUGACUUCUUCAGAAGAUGUAUAACUGUUGUCGACUUUUUUUAUAUUGACAACAUGACAUGCAGUGACUUCUAAUACUUCCUUGGGAUGAUCAUCAAGGAAGCUUCUUGGGAGGAAUUCACUCAAAGUUAUCGACCGUUGAGGUCGGAAGAAGUCCUCGUCUUUUCCUUUGACAGGCUUAGGCUUCCACAUCUUCUUGUUUCUUUUUCCCUUCUUUUUAUGGGAGAUGCAUCCUUUUGCAUGCUUUUGACGGAAUGACGACUCCUUUUGAAUGGAAUUUGAUGGUCUUCCUUUUCGACGAGUCACAAUUAUCCAUCCUUUGUCAUCAUAUUCAACAAGCUCUUCUUUGUUUUGGAAGUUUGUCGUCACGAUUCUUUGUUGGAAUUGGACAACUGUAGGUUGAAAAGUCCCAAAUUGAAUUAAGUUUUUCCUUUGAUCAUAAAGUUGUGUUGAUGGUGGAACACUUGAAGUAAUAUUGACCGCAACAUGAUUCGUCUCAACUAAUUCAUCAAUGUCCAGCUCGAUUUUCUUUUCACGAGCCAACUUUAGAAUCAGCUCCUUCAACACAAAACACUUUUCAACAGGAUGACUAAUGACCCGAGCAUCUGCUCUAACAUGUCUGCAACAUCAGAGUCAGAAAAUGGAUAAACUUUUUCAUGUCUUUCUUUAAGAGUUGGACGUCGCUUUUCCUCGCUAUCAUGCUUUCCUUCAAUUUUUAUUUCUUUUCUUUUAGAGAAAUUUUUCAAAGGGGUUGUAUGAACAACCAUAGACUCAUUUAUGACACUAUUUGCAAUCAUUUUAUGUCAUCAAUUUCAUUCUUGUCACUCAUCAUUUUUUGAACCAAGAAAUUUUUUACUCCUCCGUGUGUGAUACUUAGUUCCAUAUCAUAUGCACGAGUCACCAACUCUUCAAACGUGCGUGGUUUUAUCCCUUGCAAAAUAUAAAGAAGUUCCCAAUGCAUGUCUUGGGUGCACAUCUCAACUGCAAACAUUUUUGUGAGCCUGUCUUUGCAAUCUAGGCUUAGAGCUCUCCAUCGAUUUUUGUAGUCGAUGACUGGCUCCCCCUUCCACUGUUUGGUGUUUGUCAACUCCAUCAUGCUGACGAUACGUCGGGUGCUGUAGAAGCGAUUUAGAAAGUUUUCCUCAAGCUGCUUCCAACUGUCAAUGGAUUCAUGUUCUAGGUCGAUGUACCAGUUGAAGGCAUUUCCUUUUAGAGUUCGAACGAACUGUUUUACCAAUAAAUCUCCUCUCGUGCUAGCAGUUUAACAUGUUUCAAUAAAGUGAGCAACAUGUUGCCUUGGGUUACCCUUUCCAUCA